AUAUGAAUCACUUGGGGAUCUUGUUACAAGCAGAUUCUGAUUCAUUAGGUCUGGAAGUGGUGACUCAGAUUCUGUAUUCCUAACAAGCUCCCUGGUGGUGUCAAG
rnacentral:pre_miRNA from 1 species